GAUCCUGGCUCAGGAUGAACGCUAGCGACAGGCUUAACACAUGCAAGUCGAGGGGCGAGCACAGGUAGCAAUACCGGGUGGCGACCGGCGCACGGGUGAGUAACGCGUAUGCAACUUACCUAUCAGAGGGGGAUAACCCGGCGAAAGUCGGACUAAUACCGCAUGAAGCAGGGGUCCCGCAUGGGGAUAUUUGCUAAAGAUUCAUCGCUGAUAGAUAGGCAUGCGUUCAUUAGG
rnacentral:rRNA from 1 species